UGAUGACAGUGCUGUAGGGUGGUGGAGUUGAAAGUCCACCUCUGUGUUCCAGUAGAGAGUGGAGAACAAAGUCAUUUCACAGUGGAAGCCAUGAAUUCAGCAGUGGCUUGUCCUCACCUCACACACAGACAAAAUUAUGUGGAAACAUAUGUGUGAAGAACUGGAGGAGCCUGGCAGCUGCUCUCUCUAACCCAUUUGUCAUAGGAACACAAGUAACGUGGAGCAGACCGCAACAAAAUGGAGCAGCCAAUCUGCAGCUGUGGGCUGGGAUUUUAAUGGUAUCCAGUGAAACCAUCUUCGUGGCUGUCAAAUACAUGUACCUUGGAAUCGCACACCCAUACAUUUAUGGCCAGGAUCACUGUCUUUCACCAACUGGAGUCUUCUCAUUCAUCACACUAGAGUUGAAGACUAAUGAGAGAUGCCACAGAAGACACCUGAAUUUCCAGUAGAUACAAAAGGGAAA
rnacentral:lncRNA from 1 species